AGUGAACGCUGGCGGUAGGCCUAACACAUGCAAGUCGAGCGGCAGCACAGUAAGAGCUUGCUCUUACGGGUGGCGAGUGGCGGACGGGUGAGGAAUACAUCGGAAUCUACUUUUUCGUGGGGGAUAACGUAGGGAAACUUACGCUAAUACCGCAUACGACCUACGGGUGAAAGCAGGGGAUCUUCGGACCUUGCGCGAUUGAAUGAGCCGAUGUCGGAUUAGCUAGUUGGCGGGGUAUAGGCCCACCAAGGCGACGAUCCUUAGCUGGUCUGAGAGGAUGAGCAGCCGAACUGGAACUGUGAGACGGUCCUAACUCCUAGGGGAGGCAGCGGGGGGGAAUAUUGGACAAUGGGCGCAAGCCUGAUCCAGCCAUACCGCGUGGGUGAAGGAGGCCUUCGGGUUUUAAAGCCCUUUUGUUGGGAAAGAAAAGCAGCAGGUUAAUACCCCGCUGUUCUGACGGUACCCAAAGAAUAAGCACCGGCUAACUUCGUG
rnacentral:rRNA from 1 species